rnacentral:rRNA from 1 species
CCCUUAGAUGUUCUGGGCCGCACGCGCGCUACACUGAUGCAUUCAACGAGUCCAACCUUGACCGAGAGGUCCGGGUAAUCUUUGAAACUGCAUCGUGAUGGGGCUAGAUUAUUGCAAUUAUUAAUCUUCAACGAGGAAUGCCUAGUAAGCGUGAUUCAUCAAAUCGCGUUGAUUACGUCCCUGCCCUUUGUACACACCGCCCGUCGCUCCUACCGAUUGAGUGUGUUGGUGAGGAGUUUGGAUUGGCCUCGGAAGGUGGUUCGCCACCGUCCGUAGCUUAGAAGUUCUCCAAACCGCCCCACUUAGAGGAAGGAGAAGUCGUAACA